rnacentral:rRNA from 1 species
UUCGCAAUGCCCGAAAGGGUGACGAAGCGACGCCGCGUGUGGGAAGAAGGCCUUCGGGUUGUAAACCACUGUCGGGAGUUAAGAAAUGUAAAGGUGUUAAUAGUAUCCUUACUUGACUAAGGCUCCGGAGGAAGCCACGGCUAACUCUGUGCCAGCAGCCGCGGUAAUACAGAGGCGGCAGGCGUUGUUCGGAAUUAUUGGGCGUAAAGAGCACGUAGGCGGCUGUGUAAGUCGGUUGUGAAAGCCUUCUGCUCAACGGAAGAACAGCAGCUGAUACUGCAUGGCUUGAGUGCGGGAGGGGAGAGCGGAACUUCUGGUGGAGCGGUGAAAUGCGUAGAUAUCAGAAGGAACGCCGGCGGCGAAAGCGACUCUCUGGCCCGUAACUGACGCUGAGUGUGCGAAAGCUAGGGGAGCAAACGGGAUUAGAUACCCCGGUAGUCCUAGCCGUAAACGAUGGGCACUAAGUAGAGGGGUUUU